CCAAGCGCGGGUAAACGGCGGG
rnacentral:snRNA from 1 species